rnacentral:rRNA from 1 species
AUGAACGUGGCCGGCAGGAGUGCGCUCGUGCGCUCUGUGCUCACAGCUAUGCCUAUUUUUGCACUCACCGCAAUACAAGUAAACGCCAGCUUCCUCAAGGACAUAGAUAAAAUCUGUAGAAAGUUCCUCUGGGCGCAAGAAGAAAACCUUACGGGUGGCAAGAGCAAGGUCAAUUGGCGCCAAGUG